rnacentral:rRNA from 1 species
UACGUAGGCAGCAAGCGUUGUUCGGGAGUUACUGGGCGUAAAGGGUGCGUAGGCGGUUGUUUAAGUUUGGUGUGAAAUCUCCCGGCUCAACUGGGAGGGUGCGCCGAAUACUGAAUGACUAGGAGUGCGGGAGAGGAGAGUGGAAUUCCUGGUGUAGCGGUGAAAUGCGUAGAUAUCAGGAGGAACACCGGUGGUGUAGACGGCUCUCUGGACCGUAACUGACGCUGAGGCACGAAAGCGUGGGUAGCAACAGG